GAUGAACGCUGGCGGCGUGCCUAAUACAUGCAAGUCGAGCGAACAGACGAGGAGCUUGCUCCUCUGACGUUAUCGGCGGACGGGUGAGUAACACGUGUAUAACCUACCUCUAAGACUGGUAUAACUUCGGGAUACCGUUUCUAAUACCGGAUAAUAUAUUGAUCCGCAUUGUUCAAUAGUGAUUUUCGGUUUUUCUGUCACUUAUAGAUUUUUCCGCGCCGCAUUAGCUAGUUGGUAAGGUAACGUCUUACAAAGGCAACGAUGCGUAGCCGAACUGAGAGGGUGAUCGGCCACACUGGAAGGGAGACACGGAACAGAGUACUACGGGAGGCAGCAGUAGGGAAUCAUACGCAAUGGGCGAAAGCAUGACGGAGCAAAGCCGCGUGAGAGAUGAAGGUCUUCGGAUCGUAAAAAUCUGUUAUUAGGGAAGAAAAAAUGUGUAAGUAAAAAUGGACGAAAGGACGGUACCUAAUCAGAAAGCAACGGCUAACUACGUG
rnacentral:rRNA from 1 species